rnacentral:rRNA from 1 species
CUCGUAGGUGGCCAACUAAGUCAGACGUGAAAUCCCUCGGCUUAACCGGGGAACUGCGUCUGAUACUGGAUGGCUUGAGUUUGGGAGAGGGACGCGGAAUUCCAGGUGUAGCGGUGAAAUGCGUAGAUGUCUGGAGGAACACCGGUGGCGAAGGCGGCGUCCUGGACCAACACUGACACUGAUGAGCGAAAGCCAGGGGAGCAAACG